AACACAAAGCUUAACAAACUGAUAGGGAAUGGGACGGACUAACGUUUUUACGUUUAGAACACGACGACUAACUUAACUAAUUAAAAACAAAAAAUAUUUCACCCAAUAUUUGUGUGCUAUGUACUUUUAUGAUUAUAUAAUCACAUUGUUAAAUAGCAAGAUAAUAAUCUAUAUAAAUAAACCAAUAAUUGUGUGCAGUGUAUUUUUGCAUAGUUUUUAUUAAUUGAGGUUUAGUAUUUAGAUACAUCAAGUUAAAUCAAAUAAAAAAACUGAAAUAAAAAAGUUUUUAUGAUAUAUUAUAUUUCAGUUAAAUAAAGUUUCUUUUAUUUCAAGUAAAACCAUAAAAAUGGUUUUAGUUUUAAUGAACUAUAAUAACCCUGAUACAGUGUCACGCUGUUAGCUUGGCAACACGCUAAUGUCAAACUUUUGUUUAUUUAAUACUCAAAAGUAUUGAUUGAUAUUUUUAUCAUUAUACGUAUCAUUACAGUGUUAGCUUAGCAACAUGCUAACAUUCUUCACUGAACUCAAUUGUGAAUCGAGUUAUUUGUGUGCCGUGCAGUUUGACUUGUUGUCACGUAUAAGGAUAGGAUGCUCCCUUAAAAAAAAGCUGCCUAUGUAGGUAGUAAGCAACAAGGCAGCACAGUAGGUUUCGGAACAAAGCUAAUGAUUUACUACAUUUCUUGAUUGCUAGCCGAGCAUGAGAAUGAGGAAGGCCUUUUUUUGCUGACAUCAUUUCCAAAACAUUUGAGUGUCUGUCUCUCCUGCGAGGCCGUUUGAAGACAAAUGACCUCAUACGGCUUUAUAUUCGGCUGCUUUAAAGAGCAGGAAGAAAUUCCAGUGCAGUUCUCUCAAGAUUUAUACUGUCUGCAUGCUGACGGCCCCUGAGGAGUUUUGAUUCUCUUCUCGAUGCACAUACGUCUUCCUUUGGGCAUAAUUUGUUCUAACAAAACCGGUACAGGAGCAGUGCUGGACGGAAACAUUUGUCGAGCCCAGAGUGAUGUUUGCGAAGGACCUCAUCACCUUGACCCCAAUGCAGGCCUCCCGCCAGUUAAUCCAGGCUUUGUGCUGAGAGCCUGAUUGAGCCACAUUUACAGAUGAAUAAGCGAAAAAUAACCAUAGAUUUGUCAUUCAAUUAUUAUGCUUACAAAGAAAGAACCAGACAAAAAAUUGGGAUAAAGAUCAAAUAUAUAGGAGCGUUUACAAUGAGUGCCCAAAACACAAAAAUUCAAGUACAGGUGCCUUGACGAAAGUGCAAUUGCAUAAUUGCGAGACACUGUGAAAUAAAAUCAAAUGAAAUGAUGAGAAAAGUCUCAACUGUGAGAAGUUAUUUUAUUAUAUUUGAGACUAUCUAUUAUUAUAGUAUUUAUCAAUCUUUAUAUUUUUUAUUUUCAGUUUUCAGUUUAAUUUCAAUUAGUUUUAUUAAUAUUACGUUUUGUCAUUUUUAUUCACUUUUUUCUAUUUAGCUUUUAUUUUUAUUUCAGCUUUAGUAAUUUUAGUCUCUCAACUUAAAUAUGUUCAUCAUAUAUUGUAUUUUAUUUUAUUUAUUUCAUUUUUAUUUUGAUUAAGAUAAAAAUAUAACAAUACAUAAAAAAAUUAUCAAUUAAAAAAUAAAAAGGUUAUCCGAAUUUAUUUGAUAUAUUUGAAAGAUUUCAUUAAGAGACACAACGGAAAUAGAAACCAUGGAAGAGAUAUCAUAUAUGAUGUUAAGACAAGGUGCGACACUUUACAAUGGGGCUUUCCUUCAGCAUUAGGCAUAUUUCUUACUUC
rnacentral:lncRNA from 1 species